CCACGGCGCGUGACUCGGCUCAGUCCAGUUCAAGAUGUUGACAAACUUCAGGGCUGCUGGCCUGAAGGAAGCUUUUCACGUAGAUAACGUGUAUUUGCACAUGUGGUAAUAUAUGUGAGACAUGGAUUCUUAAGGAUCAGCGAGGGGCUGGUUACAAAGGAGCAUGAGGGAGUUUUGAGGAAAUGUUUUAUAUCUUGUUCAUGGUGGUGAUUACAUUUGUCAAAUUUUGGGGUGAGUUUUGCUAAAUGUAAAUUACACAUCAAUAAAUGUGACUUUAGAAACUUC